rnacentral:rRNA from 1 species
GACGAACGCUGGCGGCGUGCCUAAUACAUGCAAGUCGAACGCAGUGGGGACGGGUGAGUAACACGUGGGUAACCUCCCAUCAGAGGGGAUAACACUUGGCAACAGGUGCUAAACCGAUACUGAUGGAUGAACCCGUGGUGCAUUAGCUAGUUGGGGAGGUAACGGCGCACCAAGGCCACGAUGCAUAGCCGACCUGAGAGGAUGAUCGGCCACACAGGGACGGAGACACGUCCCAGAUUCCUACGGGAGGCAGCAGUAGGGAAUCUUCGGCAAUGGACGAAAGUCUGACCGAGAAACGCCGCGUGAGUGAAGAAGGUUUUCGGAUCGUAAAACUCUGUUGUUAGAGAGGCGGUAUCUAACCAGAAAGCCACGGCUAACUACGUGCCAGCCGCCGUGGUAAUUC